UGGGAUCAAAGAAACAACAAAAGGGCACAAAGACAAAACGAGAGAAAGAUCUAGCUGAACUACCACCAAAGCCUAGCAAAGAAGAUCUUCCGCAAUCUAACAACAAAUCUACAACCAAAGCCUAGCAAAGAAGAUCUUCCUCAUUCUAACAACAAAUUACCCCGGUGGGUUAGGGAGGCAAUCAGAAAUCAAAAAUCGAACCAGAGACCGGAGGUGGCGUAAAUUUGCAGUUCACUGCUCUCAGCCCAAUCCUUGCCGCCCUUGCCGCCUCUCGGAAUUCAGCAGCACUCAACUUCCUGAAAACCUGCCGCCAAUCUUCUAAUCUCAUUGAUCAGAAGAAAUAAGGUUCAUGCCCUGUUUUCCACACAGCCAUUCAUAGUCACUAGUGCCUCAGCAAUCAAAG
rnacentral:lncRNA from 1 species